rnacentral:rRNA from 1 species
GAUGAGCGCUGGCGGCGUGCCUAAUACAUGCAAGUCGAGCGAACAGACGAGGAGCUUGCUCCUCUGACGUUAGCGGCGGACGGGUGAGUAACACGUGGAUAACCUACCUAUAAGACUGGGAUAACUUCGGGAAACCGGAGCUAAUACCGGAUAAUAUAUUGAACCGCAUGGUUCAAUAGUGAAAGACGGUUUUGCUGUCACUUAUAGAUGGAUCCGCGCCGCAUUAGCUAGUUGGUAAGGUAACGGCUUACCAAGGCAACGAUGCGUAGCCGACCUGAGAGGGUGAUCGGCCACACUGGAACUGAGACACGGUCCAGACUCCUACGGGGGCAGCAGUAGGGAAUCUUCCGCAAUGGGCGAAAGCCUGACGGAGCAACGCCGCGUGAGUGAUGAAGGUCUUCGGAUCGUAAAACUCUGUUAUUAGGGAAGAACAAAUGUGUAAGUAACUAUGCACGUCUUGACGGUACCUAAUCAGAAAGCCACGGCUAACUACGUG